rnacentral:lncRNA from 1 species
UUCUUCUGACUCCAAGCCCAUCAUCUCAGGAUUGUACCCAAGUGGCUCUUGCACCAGUAUCAGCGCCAAUGGCAGGGUCAGCAGAAAAUAGCAGAGGGGCCUGAAAACAGAUGGGAACAUCUGGAAAAGAAAAAGGAGGGGGGAUGCACGGAGUUAGCACAUAUUAAGUGCCUGCUGUAGUCAAGCCCUGUUGGACACCAGGGACAUCUGGACCUUGACAACGGAGCGAAGGGGUGGUCCUGCCUGCACCAGGUUUCAUGGCUUCUCAGGCUUCUCUGCAGCAUGGGUGUUCCUGCCUUGGCCAGAGCCGAAAUCCCAGAGCAGUGAAAGAGGAGCCAGUGUCAUGGGGCUUCUGGU